CUAAAGUGAACGAAGGUGCCAUUCACUUCCAUCGGGCAGAAGGGAAGCGGGUGCUGAUUUGGGGCAGAACACGAUAGCCAGUCCCACCUACUGGGUUCCAGAGGUCACAACCAUUAGAGGAAGUGUAAGGGGAUAUCAGAUUUGCUACGUCUGUCGAGGCGGGCGAGUAGAGGCUGGAACACCAUUUUUAAGGUCAGGCUUCAAGCUCCGGCCUUUUUCUCUUCAUCUUGCCAGGGCCCAAGAACCGUCUAUCCUUCCCUCUGUGGUUUCCAGACCCUUCUAGGACUCUGCUACCUCCAGAACCUCUCUCUGUCUCCUCACCUACAUACCUUUCUAGAACCGUCUUCGCUCCCAGGGCCUUCUAUCUCCCUCCUCAUCCGCGACCCCUCUAUGACCCUUCCCAUCUCCGGACGCUCCAUCCUCUAGCCGCCCCUCACCCUCACCCCCCGCCCGCCAAGAAAAGCUGCUUUCUCCCCUCUCACCUUCCCUGGCCCUCUAGGACACCACCACCUCCUAAGCUUCCAGCCCAGAGCCUGAGUCUCAGCUGCCCCCGCCCCACCACCCGGACUCACCCACCGAGACACCCACUUCACAACAGGGCGGAAGUGCUCCGGGGUUCGCGCAGGGAAUGCUGGGACGCGGAGUCCGAUCGGUGCCACCCGGGAAGGGAGCGUCUAAGACUGCAACUCCCAGAAGGCACCGCGCGAGCGCGAGCCUCCGUUGGCUGCCUUCCCGAUAUCCUCAGCCAAUAAAUGUGUCAUCUGCUCCCGGUCCCGGGCACCAGAACAAAUCGGAACAGGGUCUAUUCGUGGGGGCGGAGCCUGCCGCAACCCUGGUCCUUUCCGCAGGUUCCGAGAUCAUGGCACCGCCCAGUGGGCGGGCCCUCAAGCUGAAAGCGAGGGGGUCUGCUGCCGGAAAGAGGCCAGAGCCUGUGGGCACCGGAGAGGUAUACUGGAAUCUGAUGCUAGUUAUACAUCUCUAAACUGUGAAGAGGAUGGUUUUCCAUCUGUACCAGUUCUGGGCCUGCUUCUUGAAUCCACACCUCUGCUCCACAUCACUGGCAAGCCAAUACCUGCAAGUUAUAUUCUCUGACUUUCCCAAGACGUAAGUGACUGGUCCAGGGUGGUUAGGAAGCUCUGCUGGGUGAGGUCACCCAAACAUCCAGUUUCUCUCCAACCUGCAUCCCCCGCUACCAUCCAAGAUGUUCUCCUCAUCUCUACCAUGUCCACAUUCCAGCCUGCAGGAAGGAGGACAGAGAGAGCCGGAAUGACCAGUGCUCCUGGUUGUAAGGAGAUGGCCCAGUUUGGUGAAAGAUGUACUUGCUGAGGUAGCAGAGGGCCUCUGGCUGAGGGACAGCUGUGCCCUAUAUCACAAGGAGCAAAUGAAGGUAAUUAGGCUGGAGGAACACCAGACGGGAAGCCCAGAGCUUCAGACUCCAAUGAGAGUUUGGAAGGCAAUAAGCUACUGAGGCACAGAAAGAUGAAGAAGUACCAACAGGGUCACCGGUUAGUGGCAGAACCAUUACAGAUCUAAGCAGCCUGGCUCCGGAGCCUCCGAGUGCAACCUCCGCAUCAUACAGCCUCUCAAGAUGUCAGCAGCCCACCCCAGACCUAAAGAAUCAGAUCCUCUGAGGAGGGACAUGGGAAUCUGCAUUUGAACAAGUUUCAAAUAGGUGGUUCUGAUGCACAGCCAGAGUCAGACUGCGGAUCUAAAAAGUAGCAGCAAGCCUGGGGCUGCGUGACUAGAACAAAUAAGUCUGCUUCCGGGAUUUUCAAGUUUGUCUGAUCAUGUGAACAUGAGGCCUGCUGAAUAAUGUUGAUGGAUUGUGUCCUCUUUGUGAGGGGGGAACCCAAACCCAGGUCAAUCACAAAGAACCUGUGAGCAGAAGGCCAACUCAGGAGACCUGCCCAUGAGACAUUUUCUGAAGGGGCUCCAGCCACUGGCCACCAUCCUUGGAACUCUGUGUACCUGCCUAGUUCCUGGACUUUGAUCUCCCAUCUGACCUCCUUCUCACCCCUGCUCUGAUCUGACAACUCCUGCUGGGUUGACCCCAUCUCUGACCCCAGCCCGCCUGGGUUUUCAGUCUCACUGCUCCAGGCUGAAGUCUCACAGGAUGACAGCCUGAGGCAAGACAGUAUUUGCAUCGGCCACCAAUAAUGGGAGCAGGAUGCCACCUCUUCUAAUGAUGUAAUGACAAAUGGAAUAUUCAUGUUAAAAGAACUGUGACUUUCAGGGUGGAAUUCAGGUAAUCUCAAACCAACUCUGUGACCAUCACUGAACGUGGAAUGUUGAAAUAGAAAUAAACAGGCCUUCAUCCCAACUGAAACAAUGUUCUUUCACUCAUUGAGUAAAUGGCUACUGAGAGCCAAUUCCAUGACAGUUUCCCUGUCAGCACUGGGGACAAAAAAGGUGGAGUUUCUGUAUGCCUGAUUCUGCUGCGGCAUCCAGAGAAGGUGAGGCGUCAGAGGUUAACCAACAAUUGGUCCAAAAGAAAAAAAGGCUGCAAGAUUGCACUUUCAGAUAAGGGAUGGCUCUAGCUUUGUCCAAGGUUCCGAAGUCUCUCAAUGACGGGAUCUGCCUAUGGAAGUUUAGGGAAGCCAGUAAUGAGCCUCAGACACAAACACCUUUUAGAAACCUAGAUCUGUCUGUGCACCAGAUGUUUAGACCCAGGGGGUGGGUAGCCUUCUUGGUAGGCAUCAGAGAGGCUCAGGAUUGGGGCUUGGGCUACCCCAUUAUGUUCUUGGCUGUCCUCUAGUUUGAUGUGGAAUCCUUGACAACUCAUCUUCCCUCUCUGCACCUCAGUUCCCUCUGACCAUUUCUGUCCUCUCUGAAUGCCCAGCUGCCCAAAGAGUAUUUGAUAAAUGUCUGUUGAAUGAAUGAAUGAAUCUCUAAAGUCUCUUCUAGCUCUGGUAUGGUGAGUCUAUGAGCUGGAGACAUCUUUGGGAAAGAACGAGAUUGGCCAAAAAGAAAAACUUUAGUCUCAUUCCUAUGGGACCCAUAGUCACCCUCUAUUAUUCAAAUAUGAUCUGCCCCUUAUGGACAACCUCCCCUUUCUCUUCAUCCCCUUCCUUCAUUUUUCAUCUCCUCUGCACAUAUUCUUGUGGGUUGAAUUGUGUCCCUCAGAAAAGAUAUGUUCAAGUCCUAACCCCCUCGUACUGGUGAAUGUGACCUUAUUUGCAACUGGGGUCUGUAGAGGUAAUCAAAGUAAGAUGAGGUUAUACUGAAUGAGGGUGGGCCCUUCUCCAAGAGAACUGGUGUCCUUACAAGAAGAGGGAAACUGGGACAUAGACACACAGGGAGAGUGUCAUGUGAGAGUGGAGGCAGAGAUUGGAGUAAUGCAUUACAAGCUAAGGCAUGCCAAGGAUUGCCAGCAGCCACCAGAAGCCAGGAGAAAGGCAUUGAAUAGAUUCUCUCUUCGAGCCCCCAGAAAGAAACUGACCCCGCUGAGACCUUGAUUUUGGACUUCUGGCUCCUGAAUUAUGAGAGAAUCCAUCUGUGUUGUCUUAAGCCACCUAGUUUGUGGUUUAUGGCAGCCCUAGGAAACUAAUAUAGGUCUCCAAGGCCGUUAUUUGGAAAUCACGCCACUGAUGCAUGUUAACAGAGCCCUAAAAAGCACCAGCGGCCCUGACAGCUCUCCAAAUGUUCACUGCAGAUGAGUCAUCGUUGUGCCUAUUGUGGAUCUCUGAAACCAAGAAGCCUGACACCCCCGUGGGGGAAGGAAGAAGGCCUUCCAUACUGUUAGUUAGCAGGAAGAGGAUGCUGGGGGUGGAGAGGAGGGUUCCCAGCUGCUUUCCUUCCCCACUGGGGACAGCCCCCAAAAGGGGACUAUCAUCCCUAUUAAAUGUCACCGCCAUUCACUUUCAGUCCUUCAGUAAGAGUAUGUGGAACACUUAUGGUGCUGGGUGUUGCUGGGCACUGGGGGAGAGCAUGUGCCUGUGGAUGGG